AAUCAACUCUGGCUCUGAAAAUGGGUAUGGCAUAUGUGCAUAAGCACAUGCACUCACUUCCAAUUAUGCGAUUUCCAUGAGAUUUUAUUCCUUUUGAGUCUCCGGGAGCUAGACUUGACAUAAAAAAAAGUCAUCAUUACCAAAAUAGCAAGAAAGGGGCAGUUUUAAAAGUCAUUGGACAUCAUAUAAUAAUGCCUAAUAUUGCUGUGCACAUGACUCUUAUCGUCUUAUGUUUUGAUGUUCCUGAGCAAGGUCUUAGAUAUCUCCAGCAUGAUGAUGGAAUUAACCUCAGCCUUAAUUGAUGAUUCCCUAUUGUUUGUCCCCUGUUCUCAACAGUUAAUUUCUUUUUUCCUUGUCAUUGUGAGUGUUUUCCUUUAUUCAUUUAUUUAUUUAUUUAUUCUUAUGUAUGAAUAUUUGGAUACUUUUCCAUCCUUGGCUCUUUUUAAUGCUGGUGCUGUGAGUCUAGUCCAUAACUUUGGCUUCAUGUUGGAGAUAUCCGUGUCUUCUAGCAAUUUUGAGUGUUUAUAGAUGAAUUUUUUUUUUUUGGAAUAUGACUCAUUUUCAGAAUGUAUUUAUACUAGCAAAAUUCUUUACUUUCGGAAACAUUUCUAUUCUUCUAAGAGUGUGAUUAUUCAAAAUUUGAGAACCAUGAGGGUUUUGGGAAAAGUAAUAGACGCUAGUUUUAUAUGUGUUCCAUGGGUCAGAGUAGUUUUUUGGAUUUUCUAUCAAGGUUAAUUUUCAGAAUAUGACUCCUUAUAUCUGUUGAGUGUUUAUUCAUUACAUGAUCCUGGUGACUAUCUUACAACUGUUUUUGCAAGGAACGUUCCACAUUUUAUUAAUUGGCUUUAGAUUUUGGAAUUUUCUCUGAUGCAACUUUUUUUGCAUCGUAUUGAUAACAAUAAAUAUUUUGUUCCUUGUGGACUAUAGAACCAUGAUUCAAGUUUGCUUUUGGAAUUUUCUAUGAUGCAACCUUUUUUGCAUCUUAUUGAUAACAAUAAACAUUUUGUUCCUUGUGCGCUACAGAACCAUGAUUCAAGACAUGAUUA
rnacentral:misc_RNA from 1 species